CUGAGGCUAGAUUUCUUCAAAUACUGCCAUUGCAAGAACAAAAAGGUUGAAUAACAUUUUUGGGUCCGAUUGAAAACAAAGCAAACAAGAGAUAGAACCUUCCAUAAUCAGGAAUUCCACAUCCAGUGCUAAUUUCCGCUCCUGUCAAUACCGCAACCUUGGUGCUGCAACAUACAAAUAGCAGUCAAAUAUUUAACCCAUUGGAAUACAUUUACAUCCUUUAUUGUGUGGCUACAAUUACAACAGGAACAAUAUGCAAAGCCAAGGACAAGAAUAACCUGUACAAGCCCAUUUCGCCCCAAACCCAAAUAACUUAACAAAAUAACAAAACCCAAUAAUAAUAUAAAAAAACCUAUAGGCCCGAUUGGCCCAAAACCUAAACUUUUCAGCAGAAACCCUAGCCCCUGUUGCGCCGCACCUAACCUCUGCCACCACCUGCCACCGUCCCAUCGCCGCGCACCUGCUCACUGCUAUGCCACCAUCAGUCUCUGCAAAGUGAAAAGGAGCACGCAAAGCAGAAGAAAGCAGUAGCAAUGAGAGAUUUUCUUGGAUUUUUUUUUCGGCUAUAAAGCCGAAUGUGUUGUAAAAUGUAAAAGGGGGAUUUUCGGUGUAAAACCGAUUAAAAAACAAUUGUAAAAGAGAGGAUUUCAAGAAAUAAGAAGUAAAAAAAAAAACAGAUUCAAGGACUUUGCUUUCGGUAUAAGAUCUAUUCCUCUUUUAUUUAUUUAUUUAUUUUUCUUUAUUUUCCUUCUUUCUCAAACUGUUUAUAUACAUACAUAUAUUUCUUUAGUUUUUCUUUUUUUAACUAUUAUACAUAUAUAUUGAAAAAAGUUUAAAAAAAGAAAAAAAAAAGGGAAAAAAACGCACCUUUUCAACUUUCCGGCCACCGUGGACGGCGGCGCCGUCACCGGUGACCGGUGACCGGCGGCCGGCACGGCGGGGGUCGGCCCGUCCUCUGGCCGGAUUUUGGGCUGAGAAAGGGAAAGGGGAGAGAUUUUAAGAGAAGGAAAUUUUUUUUAAAAAAAGAGGGCUGAAAGUG
rnacentral:lncRNA from 1 species